AGUAAUAAAGCCUUUAAAGAGAGAAGUAAAAUAAUAAUAAAAAAAGCCAUGUAGAGAUGGGAAAUACACAGGGAGCCUGAAUCCUGUAUGUUAUUGUGUUGAUUUUGAUUUUUUUUGAUUAUUGAUAAGCAAACAACAGCUGCUGGCAGACAUAGAAUUGUGAAUAUGACUGCAAAAUUGAGCCAACCUAGAUACUUGAGGGCUAUCUUAACUUUAAAAAAGAAGUCAAAAAUGUAUUUUUCAAAUGGAAAUCAAAAGUGCUUUGGAGUUUUGUUCCCACAGGAGAUGGGAGGUUGUGGAUUCCUUCAGGAAUAUGGAUCAGAAGUGAUCAAGGGAGACCUCCUGAAUCUUGACAGGGCCUUUGCACUUCUGUUCCUUCCACAUGGACGAUGCUUCCUCAGGAACUUCCUUAAAGUUGCCCGGCUUACUCCUUCACCUUCUUCAGGUCACUGGCUGCAACUGGGAUUCCUCAGAAAAGAGUUCCUUCAUCGGUCUAGUGCUUUAUCACCACCAAAGACAGAAUCCAGCUGAAUACAAAAGAGUCACCAUAACAGUUGAAUAGAAAUUAGAGCCACGUUUUGAGCCUCCACAUCCUUUACUUACCAGAUUCUGCAGAAGAAGGAUUUCACUGGUGUAUAUUCAUACUGUGAAGCUAGAAAGAAAGAAAAAUGGUCACAUGCCCCUCCCAGGGCAGCUCCUCAGUGAAGCAGUCCUGUGUGAGACUCUGAGCUUCCCUUCACCUAACCCCUCAGACUUUCCUUACCCUCCAGCUAAGCACAUCCACUAUUUCUAAUGUCACCAUGAUGAUCUGAUGAUAACUAUUUUUGGGGCUAACAGUCUGGUCCACUCUAACAGUGUGAGGAAGUUUGGAGUACUUUCAGAUUUCAGUUCUCUGAUGUUUAAACGAGACUGGUCUCCUUCACUUCAGUUCAUCCUU